AACGCUGGCGGCGUGCCUAAUACAUGCAAGUCGAACGGCAGCACAGCAGAGCUUGCUCUGUGGGUGGCGAGUGGCGGACGGGUGAGGAAUACAUGGGAAUCUGCCCAGUCGUGGGGGAUAACGUAUGGAAACGUACGCUAAUACCGCAUGCGCCCUACGGGGGAAAGCCGGGGACCGAAAGGCCUGGCGCGAUUGGAUGAGCCCAUGUUCGAUUAGCUAGUUGGCGGGUAAAGGCCCACCAAGGCGACGAUCGAUAGCUGGUCUGAGAGGAUGAUCAGCCACACUGGAACUGAGACACGGUCCAGACUCCUACGGGAGGCAGCAGUAGGGAAUAUUGGACAAUGGGGGCAACCCUGAUCCAGCCAUGCCGCGUGAGUGAAGAAGGCCCUCGGGUUGUAAAGCUCUUUUGUCCGGAAAGAAAAGCAUUCGGUUAAUCCCGGGUGUUCUGACGGUACCGGAAGAUAAGCACCGGCUAACUUCGUGCCAGCAG
rnacentral:rRNA from 1 species